GACGAACGCUGGCGGCGGGCUUAACACAUGCAAGUCGAACGGAAAGGCCCUGCUUUUGUGGGGUGCUCGAGUGGCGAACGGGUGAGCAACACGUGAGUAACCUGCCCUUGACUUUGGGAUAACUUCAGGAAACUGGGGCUAAUACCGGAUAGGAGCUGCUGCUGCAUGGUGGGGGUUGGAAAGUUUCGGCGGUUGGGGAUGGACGCGCGGCUUAUCAGCUUGUUGGUGGGGUAGUGGCUUACCAAGGCUUUGACGGGUAGCCGGCCUGAGAGGGUGACCGGCGACAUUGGUACUGAGAUACGGACCAGACUCCUACGGGAGGCAGCAGUGGGGAAUAUUGCACAAUGGGCGGAAGCCUGAUGCAGCAACGCCGCGUGCGGGAUGACGGCCUUCGGGUUGUAAACCGCUUUCGCCUGUGACGAAGCGUGAGUGACGGUAAUGGGUAAAGAAGCACCGGCUAACUACGUG
rnacentral:rRNA from 1 species